GACGAACGCUGGCGGCGCGCUUAACACAUGCAAGUCGAGCGAGAACCAGCCCUUCGGGGCUGGGGAAAGCGGCGAACGGGUGAGUAACACGUGGGUAAUCUGCCCUCGGCACCGGAAUAGCCCGGGGAACCCGGAUUAAUGCCGGAUGGCCUCUCGAGCUCUCGAGCUCGUGAGAAAAGGUAGCUUCGGCCUCCGGCCGAGGAUGAGCCCGCGGUCGAUUAGCUUGUUGGUGAGGUAAUGGCNCACCAAGGCGACGAUCAGUAGCUGGUCUGAGAGGAUGAUCAGCCACAUUGGGACUGAGACACGGCCCAAACUCCUACGGGAGGCAGCAGUGGGGAAUAUUGGACAAUGGGCGCAAGCCUGAUCCAGCCAUGCCGCGUGAGUGAUGAAGGCCCUAGGGUUGUAAAGCUCUUUUGUGCGGGAAGAUAAUGACGGUACCGCAAGAAUAAGCCCGGCUAACUUCGUGCCAGCAGCCGCAGU
rnacentral:rRNA from 1 species